UCUAGAACUCUAGAAAUGAGCUAAACACUGAAUUAUGUUUGACUGCAGGACAAACUCAUUUUUUUUGUUAAGAUUUGAACUUAAAAAUAGUAGUAUCGAGUCGUGAAAUCUUCAUUAAUGUUUUAGACCUACAUCUUAGUUUUAUA
rnacentral:pre_miRNA from 1 species